AUACUACUGAAGAGUCCCAAACUAGGACGAAACAGAUGUCCAGUAC
rnacentral:hammerhead_ribozyme from 1 species